GGAGGAUUGUUGGAAUUGGCAGACAAGCCGGAUUUAGGUUCCGGUGCCCCCGCGGCGUAAGGGUUCAAGUCCCUUAUCCUCCACCA
rnacentral:tRNA from 1 species